CUCUAAGGGUUUGAUAUCAAAGCAUUGAGUUUUCAUAGGUGAUCCCCAAAAGCUGACAGGUACCUCUGAAGAAUCAAACCAAUACAGUAAUAACGCAUCUUAACUGAUCACUUAAAUCGCAACUUUUAAAUCCCCAAAUUUUUAAGUGUCAAGUUUAUUAUUCUAGAAGUAUCCAACAUAUCCAAAAUAUACUGUGAGUCUAUAAGAGGGGGUUUCUGUAUAUAGGUUUUUAAAUUUUACCAAAGUUGGAGCACUUAGUGA
rnacentral:lncRNA from 1 species